GACGAACGCUGGCGGCGUGCCUAAUACAUGCAAGUAGAACGCUGAAGGAGGAGCUUGCUCUUCUGGAUGAGUUGCGAACGGGUGAGUAACGCGUAGGUAACCUGCCUGGUAGCGGGGGAUAACUAUUGGAAACGAUAGCUAAUACCGCAUAAUAGUAGAUGUUGCAUGAUAUUUACUUAAAAGGUGCAAUUGCACCACUACCAGAUGGACCUGCGUUGUAUUAGCUAGUUGGUGGGGUAACGGCUCACCAAGGCGACGAUACAUAGCCGACCUGAGAGGGUGAUCGGCCACACUGGGACUGAGACACGGCCCAGACUCCUACGGGAGGCAGCAGUAGGGAAUCUUCGGCAAGAGACGAAAGUCUGACCGAGCAACGCCGCGUGAGUGAAGAAGGUUGUCGGAUCGUAAAGCUCUGUUGUAAGAGAAGAACGAGUGUGAGAGUGGAAAGUUCACACUGUGACGGUAUCUUACCAGAAAGGGACGGCUAACUACGUG
rnacentral:rRNA from 1 species